AACGCGAAGAACCUUACCGAGGCUUGACAUAAUACUGAAGUUAUCAGAGAUGGUAAUGUCUUUCGGGACAGUAUUACAGGUGGUGCAUGGUUGUCGUCAGCUCGUGUCGUGAGAUGUUGGGUUAAGUCUCGCAACGAGCGCAACCCUUGUCUUUAGUUGCCAGCAUUCAGUUGGGCACUCUAGAGAGACUGCCGGUGAUAAAUCGGAGGAAGGUGGGGACGACGUCAAAUCAUCAUGCCCCUUAUGUCUCGGGCUACACACGUACUACAAUGGCUAUUACAGAGGGAAGCGAAGGAGUAAUUCGGAGCAAAUCCAAAAAGAUAGUCCCAGUUCGGAUUGUGGGCUGCAACUCGCCCACAUGAAGUCGGAAUUGCUAGUAAUUGCAGGUCAGCAUACUGCAGUGAAUACGUUCCCGGGUCUUGUACACACCG
rnacentral:rRNA from 1 species